AGAUAUAUAUGAGGAAUUUUUCUUAGUUCUUUUUUGUUCGUAUAAGCUUGGAACAUGACCUAUGUUCUCAAUCGAACAUUUAGUACAAAAUUUUCACCGUCCAUUUGAUUGGCACAUAAUCAUAUUGCUUAAUGCAUUUUUUUUAUUUUUUAACUCUUACUAUAAUGGAGUAAUUGAUUUUCUCUAUGUAAGACUUAAAUAGAUGCAUGUGUCUGACUAUACCUUCCAUACAGAGGUUCUUAGAUUGACCAUUUUAUGAUAUCAUUUAUUUCCUAUGAACACCAAGGUGCCAACUUCAUUCAUUUCAUUUCAGUAUGAUGGAUUCUUUCCAUGGUUUCUGUUUUAACUGACUGAUACUCUUAGCACACUCUGAUCUCUUUGGAUUUUCUUUUAAAAAAUCUUUUCCAGAUUUAGGAAAUUCUUUUUUCUUUUUGAUCUUCUUGGGAAAAUUAAUCAGCUGA
rnacentral:misc_RNA from 1 species